CAGGUAUUACAAUACAUCUUUAGUUCCUAAAUUUAUUCAAGUACUAAAGUCAAGAUCCCAAAGCAAUAGAGUCCAGAUAAGAGUUGAACUCGAGCUGAACUUCACUACUAACUUGAACAAAACAAACCCAACAAAAGAAGUCCCCAAACCCCUGCUAUAACAGCCCAGUCAUUGUAUGUUUAACAUGGAAAGUUUUAGCCAAACCAAUAUCAUGAUGGGUUAAAGUCCAAAUACAAAACUAACAUGAAACAUAUUAUCAACAGAUUGAGUGAAUACAAGAACAAAUUACAGAAUCAACUACUGAAAAGCAUAAAACAAAGGUAGAUUCCAAAUUUCAUCAGCUGAUAUUAAUGCUAGGCCUCCACAUUCAAUUAACAUGCUUCAAGUUGAGCUUCACAUUUGACAAGGUCAAAGAUAUACCUGGGACAGAGUUUAGAGCAAAAGAAAAAUGAAGAAAUUAGCAGCAAUAGGAGACUGUAAACCAACGAUUCAGCACAUAUAAUCUCAGUUUCCUUAGACCAUUUGUAACCCAGGCAACAAAUUUCUUUGAAAAUUUGGAAAAAUUCUGAUUAACUUGAAGAAUCAGGAGCAGAACCAAAGCAAGUCUAACCAAAAAUGCAGGAAAUUUUUAGUAUUUUUAGAGUAUCAAAGGAUGCCCCUGAAGUGAAUGAAAGAAGUUUUUAUAUAGGCAGCCUAAAGCAGCCCUAGCCUGAAUAACUAUUUCCUCUUUUACCCUCCCAAUUCAUGGCCAUUUUACACCUUUUAACCCCUCAAAAUAUCUAAAAAUUCCCUCCUCUUAACCAAGCAACCCAACCUUAUCCUCUAGAAGCUUCUAUGCUAACAGAAAAUGAAUCCCUCAAACCCCAAAUGCCCAAAAUACCCUUGACACCUUCUGUAUUUACCCUCAGACAGUCCAAAAACUGGGUCAAAUUAACCCAAGACCCAGCCCAACUAAACGGGUCUCUCAGCCGGGUUAGGGACAACCACAGUCAAUGCAAAAAAACCAAACAAUCAGAAAUGAUUAAACACACAAAAAAAUCAAAUCCAAAAAAAUAGAAACCAAACAAUUCAGACUUUACGAUUAAACCUAAUUUAACUACCAAUUUAAGAUGUAUUCGACUACAAAAAAAAGACAAAACAAUGAAGCAGAUAAAAGUAAAUAAUAAUAAAAAAAUAGAAAAUACUAUAAUGAACAAGAUCGUGAGAAAAAAAGAGGGGAAAAUACCAAAUCACGCCGGAAUGUCUUGACAACAUGAAACAAAUCGACGAAUGAAGACGGAAGUAAACAUUUGGCCAGAAUCUGAUGAGUUCGUCAAAAUCUGGCAUCCUUGGAAUGAGCUAAAACCAAUGCUAAUCGGUUGCUCUCGUUAAGAGCAAUCGACUAACGUAGAUUAUAGGUCAAAACGAACCAGAACUUGCGCGGAAUUUAGAAAAAGAGAGAAAAUUAGGGUUUGAACUUCCUAGAUUUGGAAUUGGGGAAAUUUAGUUGAGAUUUUUGGGAAAUAGGUGUGGGGAUAGGAUUUAGGAAGGCCUGGGGGUCGCGUGGUAUGAAUUUGGGGUGGUAGGAGCUUGGGAACCUCAGGGAGGCGCUAGAGUUUUAAGGUUAGCGACGAGAGAGACUGAGAAGUGUUUGGACUGGG
rnacentral:lncRNA from 1 species